rnacentral:rRNA from 1 species
GGCCCAGCUUGCUGGGUACUCGAGUGGCGAACGGGUGAGUAACACGUGGGUGAUCUGCCCCUGACUUUGGGAUAAGCCUGGGAAACUGGGUCUAAUACCGAAUAUUCAUUUUUCCUCGCAUGGGGAUUUGUGGAAAGCUUUUGCGGUUGGGGAUGGGCCCGCGGCCUAUCAGCUUGUUGGUGGGGUAAUGGCCUACCAAGGCGACGACGGGUAGCCGACCUGAGAGGGUGAUCGGCCACACUGGGACUGAGACACGGCCCAGACUCCUACGGGAGGCAGCAGUGGGGAAUAUUGCACAAUGGGCGCAAGCCUGAUGCAGCGACGCCGCGUGAGGGAUGACGGCCUUCGGGUUGUAAACCUCUUUCAGCUCCGACGAAGCGCAAGUGACGGUAGGAGCAGAAGAAGCACCGGCCAACUACGUGCCAGCAGCCGCGGUAAUACGUAGGGUGCAAGCGUUGUCCGGAAUUACUGGGCGUAAAGAGCUCGUAGGCGGUUUGUCGCGUCGUCUGUGAAAUUCUGCAGCUUAACUGCAGGCGUGCAGGCGAUACGGGCAGACUUGAGUACUACAGGGGAGACUGGAAUUCCUGGUGUAGCGGUGAAAUGCGCAGAUAUCAGGAGGAACACCGGUGGCGAAGGCGGGUCUCUGGGUAGUAACUGACGCUGAGGAGCGAAAGCGUGGGUAGCGAACAGGAUUAGAUACCCUGGUAGUCCACGCCGUAAACGGUGGGUACUAGGUGUGG